UGUUUCUCCCUCACGCGGGAUGGCGGGCAGAGAAAGGAGCUGCAGCGGGAACCUGGCAGCGGUGGCUGGGAAGGCGCAGAUCAGAUCCCGCAGGAGUAAAUGAGAUGUACCAGAAGCUCCACAGCUCUAACAGGAGCUGCUGGGUGUCUCGGCAGGCAGUGUAGCAAAAAACCUGCAGAAGAACAGCAGGACUGGGCAGUGGCAGCCGGGCUCCUGAACACAGGGCUUUGGAGCUGGGAUCAGUGCAGCAGGAGGCUACAACCAGCCCUCCGUGGUCCAUGGACAGCACAGCACCCCCGGGGUCACACUUUGACCUGGAGACAACUUUGGUUCUGUCCUCAGUGCUCAGGCAGAGCCCAGAAGACAGCUCCAGGGCAGGAGGCAGUGUCCCAGCUCAGCAGGGUGGAGGAUGAUGGAUGGGCAGAGAAUCAGCAUCCUCUGAAGAGCCUUCCUGGGGACAAAGCACCAGAAAGCCGCUGCUGAGUGUAACAACAGCUUUGUAAAAGCCUGGAGCUCUGGAAAACCAGGAGGGUUCGGCACAGCGGUGCCUCUGCAAUGUGCUCUCCCUGCCAGCACCUGCCACCUGUGGCAGCCCCUUCCCCAGCCUUUUGAUCCGCCUCCAGCUCCCGGCUCUCCUCGGCAUUCCCGUUGCUCUCUGUAGGGAUUUUCCAGACCACCUGGGUAGAAGCAUUCCUGCAUUCCCCCGCGUGGCCCGGUGCCGGUGUGGGAACACACCGCAUCUCCUGGAGUCAGCCUUGUCUCUGCCUCCAUCACUGCCCUGCUCUGCCAUGACAAAACCCAGGCUCCCAAAACGUUCUGAAUUUCCAGAGCAAUCACUUUUCCCCAGCUCCCCUGAGCCUCCGGAGCCCAUGGCUUGCAAAAGCUUUUUAUUUGGAUGUGCAAACACCAGCCGGUCUAAAGCCACUCUUUAAGCUGGGACUGGCAGGGCUUAAUCAACCCAGGGCCUCGGGAAGGUUCACCAGCUCAGCCUGCCUUGUUUACUGGGAAUUCUUUGCUCUCCUGUGCUGCACCAGGCUGAGCUGUUCCACAGCAUCACUGCUGGGCUCCAAUGGAGAGCAUUCCAGAGGAUGGGGCUGUGUGGUCUGCUGGAUCCCCACCACCCCUCUCCAGCAUCUCCUGUACCAUGAAACCCCAACUUCAUCAUCACCCAGGGGUGUCCUUGGUGCCCUCAUCCUUGUCACCCCAUCACCUUCCAUGGACCCAGCCCGCAGGAUUCAGCCCCCGCUCCCCUCUCUGUGUCCAAGGAAAACCAGCCCCCGGUGGUUUCACCCCCCCUCCUUCCCUUGCAGGCUGUUUUUCUCCUCCUCUCCUCCUUCCAUCAAGCAGCAAAUAUGCUUUCAGAGCAAUAAGACGGCUGUUCAGCCUUUGGAACAAAUGUUCUCUGCCAGGCUUCGAGCACAGGGGCGGAGGGGGGACUCACACUGAUUUAAUGACAGUGAUUUAAGCAAUUUGAUCCAUUUUUAUGGCGCAUUUACAGUUAGG